GUCAGCACGUCUGUCAUCCUACUCGUCCAGCCUGGGAAGACUGACUGGAACGUCCCGGCUGGCGCCAGCCCCCGAAUCUUCGGGAGCCGGGUCGACUGCGAAUGCGCAGGAAUGCUGGGGCGGGACUUCAAGUCACUCUGCCCCCGGCCCGCGCGACCAAUGAAUAGCGACUGCCCCGGGGCCGGCUAAAUCCUUAGAGGCCGGAGUUAUUAGCCGAGAGGAUAGCCCCGCCCUUGUUUCCUUCAGGCCCUCGCUCCCCGCCUCGCGCCGUCGUCGCCCCGCCUCCUCUCGCCCGCCUUCCCUGCUGCGAGAUUUAUUUAAUCUCCCAACUACCAUGAUGAAGAUAAGUUGGAGUGACUGCUAGAACUGAAUUUUAUUGAUCAGAAGACAGCCCAUUUGAUUUCACUUAUUUUUGUUUUCCCUUCUGCUUUGAGCUUUACUGUAAUGGCUGAAAAACUUGGGAAAUAAAAUGAACAUGCUGUGGUC